ACUCCUACGGGAGGCAGCAGUGGGGAAUAUUGCACAAUGGGCGCAAGCCUGAUGCAGCCAUGCCGCGUGUAUGAAGAAGGCCUUGGGUUGUAAAGUACUUUCAGCAGUGAGGAAGGUGGGGUAUGUUAAUAGCAUAUUCUAUUUGUACGUUAGCUGCAGAAGAAGCACCGGCUAACUCCGUGCCAGCAGCCGCGGUAAUACGGAGGGUGCGAGCGUUAAUCGGAAUUACUGGGCGUAAAGCGCAUGCAGGUGGUUGUUAAGUCAGAUGUGAAAGCCCGGGGCUCAACCUCGGAAUUGCAUUUGAAACUGGCAAACUAGAGUACUGUAGAGGGGGUAGAAUUUCAGGUGUAGCGGUGAAAUGCGUAGAGAUCUGAAGGAUACCGGU
rnacentral:rRNA from 1 species